UAAGCGCUAGUUAUUUUCUUGGCUUUAUGUAAUCAGAAUAGAGCAGAAACAAUCCUCUGAAGCUAAGUAUCUUCUAAGGUUUGCUGAUAGUUCUUAUUAACUGGAAACAACACACUUACAGGCUCACAUUAUAUUAUGGGGUUUGGGCUUUUGAGGUGUGAGAUUUGGCGGAGGGGUGGUUUGCAGCUCAGAUCAGUACUGGAUUGAUUUCGCAAUUCCUACGUGGAUCUCCAGCGUGGCCUUCCUGAGCCUGCCCUGGUCCUGAGAGGAGCGCUGAGGAAGCUGCGAGCCCUGGGCCCGCUCAAGUACCGCGGUUAUUGGGAUGCAGAAGAAAGCAGCUCGGCCCUGGCCGCUUGUGCAAUUCACCUUAUCCUCUGCUAUUCAAUUAAUUUAAUGGAGUCGGAUUAUCACCCAUUUGAGCAAGUGCCGCUGGAAUUAGGAGAUGACAAGGAUGCAAAGAAAGUGCCAAGAACUCCCUGAGAUGACCGAGAUGUCGGGGUGGCCCUGGCCCCCUGCAGCCCCCCGGGGUGCCCCAGGGCCCCCGAAGCCCGAGCCGCGGAGCGGGGCGGCGGGGGUGGCCCUGUGCCGGGCCGUGCCCACCGGCCCCGGCACGGACCUGCCGUGCUUCUCGCCGUAGUUCCACAUCGGCAAGGGCCACCGCUGGGUCGCUUUGGCGCAUCGUUUGCCUCACGACAGGCUUCUGCCAGCCCUGCAGGUUUCAGCUUUUACCGUGGCCAGGCUAGCCACACUCUGUCAUACACGAAUGUAAUGAAAGCACUUCUAUUUUUAUUCCUGCUAACGGGCCGUUUUUGCUUGCAUCCACUCCGAGCCAUGGACGAUGGGAACAAACGAGUACUUAAAAACAAACAGGAAAAAAAAAAGAAAGAAAAAAAAAAAAGAAAAAACAAACAACAACCCCAAAAGAGAGGAAAAAACCCCAAAACAAAUACAUCCAACCAGGCUGGGAUGAGGAUUACUCACUUCAGCGCUGGCUAUAAGAAGGUACAAGCCUGGGGAGGGAGAGCGGCGGGCGGCGGAGCCGAGCUGAGCGCGUCGCGGAGGCAGAGCAGCAGACGGGGGUGCGGAGCUCCCGCGGGCGCGGGCGGCGCGGAGGAAUGCCGGGUGCCGGCGCUGCAGAGGGCAGAGGACUGUUUUCCACAUUAAUUUGUGGGCUUAGCUGGGCUGCAAAUGCAUUUUUCCUGGCACGGGGAUGUGCGCGCCUGUGUGUGUACAUACACAUCCUCCGGCAGCGUGGUCCUGCUCGAGUCUGUGUGGUGCAACGUGAGUCUGCCCAGCUUGAAGGAAUGCGGUGGUCAAAGCAGCUUUCCACAGCUGGUUCGUUUUUUUGAGAUCUGCCCCCCAAUAGUGGUACUUUUCCCUGGCAGAAUUUGAUUUAAAUAAACUAAAUCAGAACGGUCUCGCUCUCGCCUAGCCUAGCCGCUUUUCGCCCCCUCCCCUUCCUCCUUUCUUUCUUUAUUUCUGUGUGAGCGCUCCUGGGAAAGUGGAUCGGUUAGAGGGGAAGGCUUUUGAAAACGUGGGGGAAAAUGUAAGAGAAUUCAGAGGGUCCGGGCUUUCUUUGUGUGGUGCUGAAGCCGCGGCGCUGCUUUGUGCUUUGGAAGGAGAAAAUGGCGAGUCCUAUUGUGUUUAGGCCAUUUUCUUCCGGUACAAGGGUUUCCCCCCAAAUCCUAAAUACUUCAGGGCUCUUUUGAAAGAAGUCUCCCAGCCCACGAAGUGUGAAUGGCUGCAGCUCUGCCUUUUCCCCAGCCGGCAGUACCUCACAUUUGAGAGAGCCCACUCAUUGCUCCUUGCAGGGCUAGUGCACAAUUCCUAAAGCUGCUGCAUUCAGAGCCUCUUGCAACGGAGCAGCUGUUUCAACUGCUCUUAGCCCGCGUUAUUCAACGGAGGGGAGCAGGUUAUGAGAGUAGAGGGGACCAAAGAAAUAAUAAUCCGAGACCUGUCCUUGCUUUAAAAUGAUAAGAAGGAGCAACGUUAACCAGUGCGGGGGUGGUGGUGGUGGCGGGGUGGUAGUGAUCAUCUGAGGAAAGACUUGUGAACCGUUGAGCGACAGUUUGACUUUUCCACUAAAUUAUUUAAACUUUAUGUGUGCAUACAUGUAUGUGUGUUUCUGAGAGAGUAUGUGCAUAUGCACGCAGGCACAUAGCAAGGAAGAACUUCAGUCUCGGAAAGAGGUCGUAUAUAUGUAACGUGAGAUUUUAGAGCAUAUUUAACCAUUCUGUGCAAGUUAAUCCCCCUGUAACAUGCAAUGAAAGAAAUAGUUUGCAGUGUUGUCAGUUCUUUUCAGGUCAGCCGGUAAGCAAGUACCAGUUACCAAAACCCAUGUCUGAAUUUCCACAUUAAUCCGUUUAAGGAAACAAAUCAGAGUCCGAGGUUUAAAGACCGUUGUCCGAUAUCAAACACUUUUCAUUAUAAUGUGGGCUUGCCCAGGCGCCAGUGAUUAAAAGCACUUUGAAACAAGCGAGCUAGCAAAUAAAACCCAAGAAAGGCAAAUGCCCCACCACCACCUCUUCCCAUGGUGCUGAAUUUAAAAAUAUUGCUAUUAAUAAUAAAAAUAAAGCACAGGCGUUUUCAGAAGUGCCCUGGGACAACCGGCGGGUUCCCUGGCCCCUCGGCGGCGUCUGGCAGCGCGGGCGCGGAGGGGCGCGCAGUGCCGCCCGCCCGGGCGCGGAGAGCAGCGCCGCGCUACCGCCGGCGGGUCAGGACCAUGGACAGGGACUGGGUGCGUGGCUGGGGCCGGGCCCGGGCCCGUGGUCACCCCGGGAGAAAAGGGGGUGAAUAGGGCUGCCUGCCCCCCCACCCCCCAAACGCUGGGCAACUGAGCUGGUCUGCCUUUCCUGUUUUCCUUCUCGUGUGGCUGCUCAAGUUUCCAGACAAAAGACUUGAGAAAUUACAUUUAUCAUUCUCCUGCAUGAGAGCAAAGUCUAUUAAAAUGCCAAGCUAGUGAUUUCUCUUCUUACUGCCCGCAAAAGAAGUAAAAGGAUCUCUCCAUUCUGCAUACGAUUGCUUUUUUCCCUUCAACUCCGAGCCAAAAAUAAAUCUACUGCUCGGAUCGGCUGAAUGACAGUGGUGUAAAUUAAACUGAUUUUAUCAGUGACCAGGUUCCACAAUUGGAAAAAUUAAAUGCCACUUUGAGAGACAAGGAUAAUACGGAACAGAUCUAUAAAACAGCUCCUUCGGACAACAACAACAACAACAUCAACCCAACAAGAACCUAGGUACUGGCGAUCCCUUCUUCAUCCCACUCCGUUAUGUCACAUCAUCCAGUUUGCCUUUCUGCGGUAUUGAAAUGACUGAAACCAUUGUUUGAUGCAAAGGGACUAGCGAUGAUGAGUCAUGGACUUUAUGCCACAGCAAAGGCAACAGACAUGGCUCUCAGGCAAAUUUUUUAUUUUGAUCACGCGUCUAAUUGGACUCCCCUUUCAGAUGCACUUUGCGGCACUUCCAACCCACCCCACAGCUCCAGAAGAGCCAUCAGCAAACUCAGGGCUGAGCUCCCAGAACGACAAGCCGCUCUGCCAGCAUCUAAGAACUGCAGAAACGCAACCUCGAAGUCCUUUUGCCAGGAAAAAAACCCUCUGCUUCCGUGCCUCCCGCCGGCCCCCGAGGCGAGGGGAGGCCUUGAGCCACCUCCGCGCUCUCCGCCCGCCCGGCCCGGCUCGCCGCCCGCCCGAAGGGGCCUGCCUGCCCGCAGGGGCACGGCGUAGCUCCGGGGCAGCGGGAGCGGGCUGUCCCCGCAGGGCCAGCGAGCCGCCUCCAGCCGCCCGCCGCUUCCCCGCCGCGACGGGAACAGCGGGAACAAAGCCCGCGGGGGCUCGGCCCGGCCCGGCUCCGCUGCCCUCCCGGCCCGGUGCCGGGCCCCGCGGUAGGACGGGCCGGAGGCUGGGGCGGUGCGGGACCGGGGGGCGCAGCCGUGCUGCAGUGAGGGCGGGUCGGCUGCUGUGCGGGGAGGGUGGUCUCUGGAUGAGCCGGGAAACAGGCUCUUCUUCCUCGCUAUGACUGUACAGAUUCAUGUGACAUUGAGGUUGGGGAGGUGGGAGGAAGGCGGGGGGGGGGAGGGAGAGGACCCGGAGGGAAGGGGGAGGGUUGAACUUUCUGCCGGGCUCGGCUUUUCACACCUUUCUGUCCCGACGAUGCAAGAGGACGUUUUGGGAGAGAGCGGCUCGGCGGGGUCCCCUCCGAGCAGGUCCCCCUCGACCUUGCAGGGACCCGGCCGGGAUGCGCGGGGCUGGGAUUGUGCCGGGUUUCAAGGACACGGGAGAUGAUCAGGACUUUGGGAGCCAACAUCUGCCUGGCUGGUGACGUCAGCAACCCCGUGUAAUCCUCUUGUACUGAAGGCAGAUGCCUUAUUUGUUUGGCUGGAGAGGCAUUAAUCCCUAAUUCUGGAGCAGCAAGCGAGGGGGAGAGACCGGACCGCUUCCUACCCCCCGAAAGCACCUAGCGGGGCUCUCCUCCUCUCCUGCGCUCCGCGGCUCCGACUGGGCGGAGGAGCUGCCAGUCCUCGGCAGGCGGCCGCACGCAGGAGCUGCGGUGCCGAGGGGGGCCGGAGCCGCCUGCCCAGCCUGCCCCCGCAUGCCCCGGCAAGCCUACAGGGAAAGUCUCCGGAAAGCCCAGCCCGCCGCCGCCGCCGGCCGUCGUCGCGCAUCCCGCCUCGCCUCCUCUCUCCCUCCCGGGCCCUGGCGCCAAGGCAGCAGUCGAGGUCAGCCCGCCCGGUUCCUGGGGUCCGGCCGGGGUCGAGCCCGCAGGGCCGUGCACGGUGCCCGGCCGCCCCGCUCCUCCCCGACGUGCCACCAGCACCGGAAAGGAAUGGCCCCCGUCCUGAGCGGGGAAAGAUGGCAAUAAGCGUAAUAAUAAUUAAAAAAAGCUUAGGCUGAUUCUUUUUUUUUUUUUUUUUUGUUAUUAUUGUGAUUACUUUACCCCUCAUUUCCUCACUCGCCCAGUUCAGCGUAGGCAGGCCAGAUGGGCUGCCCAGACCCUCCCGGGAAAGGGGCAGGUGCGAGUGAGGUAAAUUUUUUUCCGCUUUACAAAGAAAGAUGACACGUGCUGCCCUUUCAUUUUUCAUCGCCGAAAGACCCUGUCUCCCCGCCCCCGGCCGAGAGGAGCGGGGAUGCUCUGGGGGUGCGGGCUCCCCCCGCCCGCGCUCCAGCGGAGCCGCAGGACCAGGCGGACCGAGGCAGCCGGAGAGACACGGUCCCUCCCAGCCAGGGAUGCCAAAUCACAGACGUCGAGUCGGGGACAGCCAACUCCUGCGUUUAAAAUCACGCGAAGACGCUGGCGAAAUUAAAGCACUCGCCUGGAAGUGUGUAAUAGGCACACGCCUAAUUUCUAUUAUUAUUAUAAUCCAUUAAAUACGUAUUUAACAGCUUCCUGGGCACUGCAAACAACAGUCAGGCUAGUAAGAAAACUCGAACGUGAAUUACAUGCAGCCCAGACCAGGAUAGGACUAGGGCAGAGAGAAAUUACCGGGUUUUUUUCGGGGAUCGGUUGCUAUUCUGCUUCCAGAGAGAGAGAGGGAGAGAGAGAGCGCUCCAAGGCUCUGACUCUCCGUGUUCACAGCGGACCUUGAUUUAAUGUCAUACAAUUAAGGCACGCGGUGAAUGCCAAGAGCGGAUCCUCAAGGCAGCAAGCAUGAAAGAUUUCGCUAGAACAUAACAUCGCAAUAAGGUUAAUAAUAAAAAUAAUAGCAAUCAGUUAAAAUAAAUUUUAAGAAGGGAGAGACAAACCAAUAAAGAGCUCGACAGCCUGUACUCACCUACGGAAAUCGAGACUAAAUAGGACCGGCGGACUGAACGGCUCGGCCCGGGAAGGAGAUGCGGCUGCCACGGGACGGGGCCCGCCGGGGCAGCUGUCAGCAGCAGGUAACGGGGCCGGGGGAAGUGCUGGAGCGCUGCGGUAGCCGUGGUGGUUUGUCAAGGUAGUGGUGGCUCGACCUCUCGCUUUCCUGGGCUAAACCAUGUAAAGUUGAUUAAUGGGAAAUAAAUACGUUUUCUAAUAUUA